rnacentral:rRNA from 1 species
UGGGGAAUAUUGGACAAUGGGCGAAAGCCUGAUCCAGCCAUGCCGCGUGAGUGAAGAAGGCCUUAGGGUUGUAAAGCUCUUUCACCUGCGAAGAUGAUGACGGUAGCAGGAGAAGAAGCCCCGGCUAACUCCGUGCCAGCAGCCGCGGUAAUACGGAGGGGGCUAGCGUUGUUCGGAAUUACUGGGCGUAAAGGGCGCGUAGGCGGUAUGUCAAGUCAGGGGUGAAAGGCCUGGGCUCAACCCAGGAAUUGCCUUUGAAACUGGCAAACUAGAGUCCGAAAGAGGAUGGCGGAAUUCCCAGUGUAGAGGUGAAAUUCGUAGAUAUUGGGAAGAACACCGGUGGUGAAGGCGGCCAUCUGGGAUCGGCACUGACGCUGAGGCGCGAAAGCGUGGGGAGCAAACAGGAUUAGAUACCCUGGUAGUCCACGCCGUAAACGAUGUGUGCUAGACGUUAGGGGUCUUAGACCCUGGGUGUCGCAGCUAACGCGUUAAGCACACCGCCU